rnacentral:misc_RNA from 1 species
GAUGAAGAACGUAGCGAAAUGCGAUACGUAAUGUGAAUUGCAGAUUUCAGUGAAUCAUCGAAUCUUUGAACGCACAUUGCGCCCGCCAGUAUUCUGGCGGGCAUGCCUGUCUGAGCGUCAUUUCAACCCUCAUGCCCCUAGGGCGUGGUGUUGGGGAUCGGCCAAAGCCCGCGAGGGACGGCCGGCCCCUAAAUCUAGUGGCGGACCCGUCGUGGCCUCCUCUGCGAAGUAGUGAUAUUCCGCAUCGGAGAGCGACGAGCCCCUGCCGUUAAACCCCCAACUUUCCAAGGUUGACCUCAGAUCAGGUAGGAAUACCCGCUGAACUUAAGCAUAUCAAUAAGCGGAGGA